rnacentral:tRNA from 1 species
GCGGAAAUAGCUCAGUGGUAGAGCAUCUCGUUGCCAACGAGAAGGUCGCGGGUUCGAGCCCCGUUUUCCGCU